UGAAUGCACUUCUUGUAAGUCGCUUUGGAUAAAAGCGUCAGCUAAAUGACAUGUA
rfam:Gasterosteus aculeatus cont1.007280, whole genome shotgun sequence.